GUGCGAAGUUUAGAUCAGAGGGCCUUUACGCUUUUGGGGAGGCGAAGAUGGAUAUAUCUACCGCAAUUUUUUUUAGAAGACGUUGUUUUCGUGCAGAUGUGAGGUCUACAGCUGAGGGACAAGAUAGCUCAACAGUACAGCUAUCUUGCAGUCAAACAUAAUCUUUGACUUGCUUAUGAUGAAGGUGAAACUUUCUUUGUCAACCCAGCCUCGGAAACCAUGGACAUUACUUCUCUAAAGGACUUUCCCAGUCACUCUUUACAUAGAGAGUUGAAUUCCUUAUAUAUCACUGACCCUAUGUUUUUGACUUCUUUUUGUGUUGGUUUGAAGAUUUUUUUUCCUGAAAGCUCUUUGGCUCGACUUUUUACUUCUGUGAAUGCCUCCCUCCU